rnacentral:rRNA from 1 species
GGAUUAGAUACCCUGGUAGUCCACGCCGUAAACGAUGUGUGCUAGUUGUUGGAGCCAUAGGUUUCAGUGACGGAGCGAAAGUAUUAAGCACACCGCCUGGGGAGUACGGCCGCAAGGUUAAAACUCAAAGGAAUUGACGGGGACCCGCACAAGCGGUGGAGCAUGUUCUUUAAUUCGAAGCAACGCGAAGAACCUUACCUACACUUGACAUCCUCCUUGGGACUUACAGAGAUGUUUGUCUUCGGUUCGGCCGGGAGAGUGACAGGUGCUGCAUGGCUGUCGUCAGCUCGUGCCG